rnacentral:rRNA from 1 species
UACGGGGGGAGCAAGCGUUGUUCGGAUUUACUGGGCGUAAAGGGCGCGUAGGCGGUCAGUGCAAGUCAGUUGUGAAAUCUCCGAGCUUAACUCGGAAAGGUCAACUGAUACUGCUCGACUAGAGUGCGGAAGGGGCAACUGGAAUUCUUGGUGUAGCGGUGAAAUGCGUAGAUAUCAAGAGGAACACCUGCGGCGAAGGCGGGUUGCUGGGCCGACACUGACGCUGAUGCGCGAAAGCUAGGGGAGCGAACGGG